rnacentral:lncRNA from 1 species
AUUGUGAAAUGGAUUAAUGGAUUAAUUUUUCAUUUCAUUUCACUUUUUCUUUUCUAUUUGAAUUCUGUUGGAAAAUAGAAAAGUCGUAUGAUUUUAUUCCAAUAAAAUUUUGACAAGAUGUACACCUUCUUGCCAAGUCAGUGGGACCAUCAUUGUACUAAAUUACUCAAAGUAUUGACGUGGGAAGUGAGCACCUGAAACCUUUGGCCAUGGGAAAUAGACAGUUUAUUUCAUUCAGUCUUCAGCUGAGUUCAUUCUCUUGAUAAAUAUGUACCGAGUGAGUACCUCCUUUGAGUCACACCUAUUUUGCUGUUAUUUUAAAUUCGACACAAGCUGCACUGCCAAACCUCACUCUUGGGGUUCUCAUUUAGCUAGUGGCAGUAACUGAGUUGGAAACCAAAGCUGAUCUGUGAUACCUUUGGUCUGUCUUGUUGAAGUAAAAACCACAGCUCUCAUCUUAAAAGGACAUCAUUUAUUCUGGAUCCAUUUUGAUUGAUCAUGACCCUGGGAUACAUAUUUGGAUUACCCCAAAUGCCAUGUUCCCAUGUGAAAGCAGUUUCAUGAAGUUCUGAUAGUUUGACUGAUCAGAGAAAGUCAUCAGUCAAGGCAAUUUUAAAAUAUGUUGGCGGUUACACUAGCGAGGUGGGUUCAAGAUGGGGGACGAUUCUCCAUAGGCCCAAGAUGCUAUCUGAUGACAUUCUUAGCUUUUUGAUUUCAUGGAAGCUUGCCAUCUGAUAAGUUAAUAGAUUCUAAAAAGGGUUUUAUCUUUAGUUACAAGAUGUUACUUCUCAAACAGAGGUGGGCAAGGAAUGGCUGUUCUAUAGUGUUGGAACUAGCAAAAAAUAAGGUAAUUAGCCUCAGAGGAUACAACAUUCAAUUUCUCCACUGUACUGAAAUUCUAACCAGUCUUUCCACCUCUGCAGACACACCUUCUUUUCAGGAUUUUUUUGUUCAAAAUAUGCAUUUCAGCCUAUGGUUCUCACCUAACAUAUUGUUUGGUGUCUUUUCUUUGAAAGUAAGUUAAAGAAAAGCCCAGAGAGAAAAAAAUAUUCAUAUUAAAACACACAAGUGGCGUAUAACUGAAGCAUGUGUGAACAGGAAUGAUACUUAGCGACCGACCAUCUUAUCUAGCUCUAAUUUGAAUAAUGAUUGAUAAAAACACCCUUGGAGGGUCUGCUAAAGUCCAUUUUUUGACUUAUUCAUCUAACUGAUAUUCACGGAACACCUACUCCAUGCGACACAGCGAUGCAUAAUUGUUACAAACAUUAAAUAAGAUGGAUAUGCCUAUACGUGUCCAUGACACUCAAAUGCUUUUUCUUAGAGUGAUUGCAGGAGAUACAGUUAUACUGAAAUCUCCUGAUCUGUCUUCAAUUUGGGCGUUCUUCAAUGAAGCUGCACUGAUAUCUAAGGGCUGUGAUGCCGGAUCAGUGGGAAAUGCCUUUAUAAUUCAGACUGAUGGCAAGAAGCCACCUUGCCUAGGACAGAAGAGUACAGAACAGCAAUGAUAGGGCAAAGUGACCCAUGUCAUCAGGGUUAGGUGCUUCUCCUACAGCAUCUCUGCUGAAGUUGUCGUCUAUGUACUUAGUUGUGGCUGUUUGAGGGAUGCAUUGCUGGUGGGAUGUCCUAGGCUGCUACUCCCUGGAGUCAAAAACUAUAUUUUAGUGAUGUUCUCAAAACACAUUUGAUGACAGAAUGAAGGGUAAAGAAAAUAUUUAGCAAUGUUUUUUGAGGAGAGAAUGUUUCCCUUACCGUGCUAGUUUCCAUGAAGUACAUACAACAAGUAAGACUGUUUGCCAAAAGAGGAAAGUCCAUGCACAGGAGAAAAAAAAAAAAGACCUACUGAAUGAAGGUCUGGGUGAGAAGAAAUAGGAAUUAACAAACAGAAGUGGACUAUGCAAGGCCAGAGAAAAGAUCUGUUGAUAACAUUGCCCCUUGGUGGUAGUUGUUGGUGGGUUUCAUAGUUUCCUAAUAAUUAAGGAGUUAAAAUUUUGUAACUAGAAUAAAUUCAGAUCUCCUAUAGUUUUUUUUGUUUGUUUUGUUUUGUUUUUGUUUUGCUUUGUUUUUAACAUCAGACACAUGAAAUAAGACAGUAAGCUUCAUAGAGUUGCUAUUAUAGUAGUCUUGGUUCAUUUUAUUAUUAAAUUUUAAAAUUUUUACUACAUAUUCAACAUUGACAUAAAGUAAGGUUUAUCACUAAUUUUUUGGUACCCAUUUUCCCAUCAUUGGGUGUAUUUUUAAAAGGCAAUCUCUCUAAGUGUUGUAGUUGGGCCCAAGUGCUGCCUGCUUGCAAACUCACAGCAGGAGUUCAGAACAAAAAAAAAGGUAGGUAAGUCACCUUGCUUUUCAGAGUUACCUUUGGACAAAGUCAGUAUUUUGUCUGAAAAUGCCAGAUGUUCGUAUUUCUCAUUUAAUCUUCACAUCAUUUCUCUCUAUGACAGCCAGAUUUAUCUUCCAAAACUCAUUUGCAUUUUAAAAAUCAAAGUUUUAUUUCCAAUUAUAAAGGUAAGAUAUGUCUAUUAUGGAAAAUGAGAAAUUACAGAAAAAUCACAGUUAAGAGUAAAACCACUAUUUCUCUCUUGCUAUAGGUUUGAGUUCUUUUUUGUUUUUUUGUUUUUGUUUUUUUGUUUUGUUUUGUUUUUGUUUAAGAAUACAACAAACUUGAACAUGAACAGCUUAGUUGUUGAGAACACUGCCUGCUAUUCCAGAAGACCAGGUUAAAUUCCCAGCACACACACAGCUUCUUACAGCUCUCUGUGGCUCUGUAGUUCCAAGGGAUCUUAUACCUACACACAGAUAUAAAUUCAGGCACAAGACAAAUACACAUAAAAUUAAAUAAAUCUUUAAAAUAUAUAACAGACUAUCUAAUGUACAGUAGUAAUAUACUGUAAUGUACUCUGUCUGAAGAAGCUAUUGAAUGAACAAUGUGCAUAACAGAAUAAGACAAGAAAGAUGAAGACUUGAGAAACAGGUGAGUUCCUCACUGGAUAAAGCCAAAGACAAUGCCCAGUGUGGUGUGAAGAUAUAUCUCAAAUACACUAGCAAGCAAAUAAAGCCAAAACCAUAUAAU